rnacentral:rRNA from 1 species
AGCGAACGCUGGCGGCAGGCCUAACACAUGCAAGUCGAGCGGCCGUAGCAAUACGGCAGCGGCAGACGGGAGAGUAACACGUGGGAACGUGCCCUUUGGUUCGGAAUAACGCAGGGAAACUUGCGCUAAUACCGAAUAAGCCCUUACGGGGAAGAUUAUCGCCAUUGGAGCGGCCCGCGUCUGAUUAGCUAGUUGGUGGGUAACGGCGUCACCAAGGCGACGAUCAGUAGCUGGUCUGAGAGGAUGAUCAGCCUCACUGGGACUGAGACACGGCCCAGACUCCUACGGGAGGCAGCAGUGGGGAAGUAUUGGACAAUGGGCGCAAGCCUGAUCCAGCCAUGCCGCGUAGAUGAUGAAGGCCUUA